CGAGUGAAGCGGCAACAGCUCAAAUUUGAAAUCUGGCCCCUAGGGUCCGAGUUGUAAUUUGUAGAGGAUGCUUUUGGUGAGGUGCCGCCCGAGUUCCCUGGAACGGGACGCCGCAGAGGGUGAGAGCCCCGUCUGGCUGGCCACCGAGCCUCUGUAAAGCUCCUUCGACGAGUCGAGUAGUUUGGGAAUGCUGCUCAAAAUGGGAGGUAUAUGUCUUCUAAAGCUAAAUAUUGGCCAGAGACCGAUAGCGCACAAGUAGAGUGAUCGAAAGAUGAAAAGCACCUUGAAAAGAGGGUUAAACAGUACGUGAAAUUGUUGAAAGGGAAGCGCUUGUGA
rnacentral:rRNA from 1 species